GCCAACCCCUUGGUUACCAGAAACUUGAUUCCUAUUAUUUGAGUCUUGGAACCUCAACUCAGAUUGUCCAGACAAAUCCUUGUUUGCUUCCCAAGAUCCUUCCUCUGUGGAGCCGGGUAACUGUCCAGAUCGACCACGCCAAUCUCGAUUGUCUGCCUCAAAGUAACGGCCUUGAGAUUGUGAUUGAUUGCUUUCAGCACGGGCCCAUGUUUGAUCUUCCCCAACUAUCUCUGACUCAACUUCUAGUUUGACUUUCAAGAUAUCCUCAGGGACUGUUGCAACCUCCCUAAGCUGCAGAAGCUGGUCUCGAGUGUAUUGCAUUCGCUCACGACCUUCAAACCGUAGAUCGCCAGUCUUGAGGAUUGAAGCAGCGCCGCCAUGUGGACGAAGCGACGAAGAGUCGGCGGAGGAUGAAUCGAAGCGAGGUGUAACAAAUCUGCUUCCACGAAAGCCACCGCCACCACCAGGUCUCAAACUUAUCACCGUCUGA
rnacentral:misc_RNA from 1 species